AAAGGGCAUCAGAGCAUCCCCAAGGGGGGAGGUGACUCCUCAAGGGGAGGAGGUGGCAGUGUCCCCAAGGGAGAGGUGACAGCAGGUGACAGGAGGUGACAGUGUCCCUGUCCCCUCCCCCGUCCAGGUGUGCUGUACAACCAGUUCCUGUCCCAGGUGGAUUUCGAGGUGCUGCGGGACCACGCCCGCGCUCUGGGGGUGCUCGUCUUCGAGAACCCCGCGCGGCGCCUGAUGGUGGUGACACCCGCCGGUCACCCCGACGUCAAACGCUUCUGGAAACGCCAGAAACACAACGGCUGACCCCAAAAUCCCCAAAAUCCCUGAAAUUCUGGGGUUUGGGAUCCCAAAAACCCCAAAAUCCCUGAAAUUCUGGGGUUUGGGAUCCCAAAAUCCCUGAAAUUCUGGGGUUUGGGAUCCCAAAAACCCCAAAAUCCCUGAAAUUCUGGGGUUUGGGAUCCCAAAACCACCGAAAUCCAGAGUUUGGGACCCCAAAAUCCCCAAAAUUCUGGAGUUUGGGAUCCCAAAAACCCCAAAUUCCAUUAAUUGGGAUCCCAAAAACCCCAAAAUCUUGCAGUUUGGGGUCCGAAACCCCUGGAAUUCCAGAGUUUGGGAUCCCCAAAACCCCAAAAUCCUGGAAUUUGGGACCUCAAAAACCUCAAAUCCCAGAGUUUGGGAUCCCAAAACCCCAGAAUUCCAGAGCUUGGGACUCCAAAAACCUGAAAUUCUGGAGUUUAGGACCCCCAAAAAAACCAAAGUUAGGGAAUUUGGGAUCGCAAAACCCCCAAAUCCCAGAAUUUGGGAUCCCAAAAACCCCAAAAAUCCUGAAAUUUGGGGUCCCCACAGCCGGAAUUUGGGGAUUUCAGUUUCUCAUUCCCAGAAAAAAAAAACGGAUUUUGGGGGGGAGGGAAAUGUAAUUUUUUUGUAAAAACGAUGUUUUUUGGGAAGUCUUUUUGUAAUAAAAACGUUUUGAGCAAAAAGAAAAAGGGGAAC
rnacentral:lncRNA from 1 species